rnacentral:rRNA from 1 species
UACGUAGGGUGCAAGCGUUGUCCGGAAUUACUGGGCGUAAAGGGUGCGUAGGCGGUUCGUUAAGUCUGUCGUGAAAUCCCCGGGCUCAACCUGGGAAUUGCGAUGGAUACUGGCGAGCUAGAGUGUGUCAGAGGAUGGUGGAAUUCCCGGUGUAGCGGUGAAAUGCGUAGAGAUCGGGAGGAACAUCAGUGGCGAAGGCGGCCAUCUGGGACAACACUGACGCUGAAGCACGAAAGCGUGGGGAGCAAACAGG